UCUCUGUUAGUAUAUCGGUUAGUACACGCGCCUGUCAUUUGUAACGACCGCGCGAAAGCGGGGUUCGACUCCCCGACAGAGAG
rnacentral:tRNA from 1 species